rnacentral:rRNA from 1 species
GACGAACGCUGGCGGCGUGCCUAAUACAUGCAAGUCGAACGCAGUGGGGACGGGUGAGUAACACGUGGGUAACCUCCCAUCAGAGGGGAUAACACUUGGAAACAGGUGCUAAACCGAUACUGAUGGAUGAACCCGCGGUGCAUUAGCUAGUUGGGGGGGUACCGGCUCACGAAGGCCACGAUGCAUAGCCGACCUGAGGGGGUGAUCGGCCACAUUGGGACUGGGACACGCACCAUACUCCUACGGGAGGCAGCAGUAGGGAAUCUUCGGAAAUGGACGAAAGGCUGACCGAGCAAGGCCGCGUGAGUGAAGAAGUUUUUCGGAGCGUAAAGCUCUGUUGUUAGAGAAGCGGUAUCUAACCAGAAAGCCACGGCUAACUACGUGCCAGCAGCCGCGGUAAUUC